AACGAACGCUGGCGGCAUGCCUAACACAUGCAAGUCGAACGAGACCUUCGGGUCUAGUGGCGCACGGGUGCGUAACACGUGGGAAUUUGCCUCGGGUAUGGAAUAACUCAGGGAAACUUGAGCUAAUACCAUAUAAUGUCUUCGGACCAAAGAUUUAUCGCCCUGAGAUAAGCCCGCGUAGGAUUAGCUAGUUGGUGGGGUAAAGCUCACCAAGGCGACGAUCCUUAGCUGGUCUGAGAGGAUGAUCGGCCACACUGGGACUGAGACACGGCCCAGACUCCCUACGGGAGGCAGCAGUGGGGAAUAUUGGAC
rnacentral:rRNA from 1 species